rnacentral:rRNA from 1 species
ACGUCAUUGGGGCGCAGCCUGAUGCAGCCAUGCCGCGUGUGUGAAGAAGGCCUUCGGGUUGUAAAGCACUUUCAGCGAGGAGGAAAGGGUGUAAGUUAAUACCUUUCCUCUGUGACGUUACUCUCAGAAGAAGCACCGGCUAACUCCGUGCCAGCAGCCGCGGUAAUA